GAUUCAGUCAUAAUGGCAGCAAACUGAUUCAUAUAACUGAUUCAUAUAACUGAUUCAGUCAUAAUGGCAGCAAACUGAUUCAUAUAACUGAUUCAGUCAUAAUGGCAGCAAACUGAUUCAUAUAACUGAUUCAGUCAUAAUGGCAGCAAACUGAUUCAGUCAUUAUGGCAGCAAACUGAUUCAUAUAACUGAUUCAGUCAUAAUGGCAGCACACUGAUUCAUAUAACUGAUUCAGUCAUAAUGGCAGCAAACUGAUUCGUAUAACUGAUUCAGUCAUUAUGGCAGCAAACUGAUUCGUAUAACUGAUUCAGUCAUAAUGGCAGCAAACUGAUUCAUAUAACUGAUUCAGUCAUAAUGGCAGCAAACUGAUUCAGUCAUUAUGGCAGCAAACUGAUUCAUAUAACUGAUUCACAAACUGAUUCAUAUAACUGAUUCAGUCAUAAUGGCAGCAAACUGAUUCAUAUAACUGAUUCAGUCAUAAUGGCAGCAAACUGAUUCAUAUAACUGAUUCAGUCAUUAUGGCAGCAAACUGAUUCAUAUGACUGAUUCAGUCAUUAUGGCAGCAAACUGAUUCAUAUAACUGAUUCAGUCAUUAUGGCAGCAAACUGAAGCAUAUCAACAUAUCACCUUUCCCACAGUAAAGUUUAUGAAUGAUCCAUUAUGCAGAAUUUGUACGACCUUUGAUCUUACAGAGAUGGGUUACUGUCAAAUGUAUGAAUUAUAGGUAACUAUUAAUACUAUUAAUACCACUAUUAAUUAAGUAACUUUGUCUUGUUUCCUAUUUCUAUCGUGUUAAAUAUUAUCCCUCUC